AGCAGCCGCGGUAAUUCCAGCUCCAAUAGCGUAUAUUAAAGUUGUUGCAGUUAAAAAGCUCGUAGUUGAAUUUCGGGAUCAUCAGGUUGGUCGUGCCUUUGGUAUGUACUUUCCUCGAUGGUUCCUCCUUCUUGAAGAUCUGUAAUGCCAUUAAUUUGGUGUUGCGGGGAAUCAGGACUGUUACUUUGAAAAAAUUAGAGUGUUUAAAGCAGGCAAUCGCUUGAAUACAUUAGCAUGGAAUAAUGAAAUAGGACGUUCGAUCCUAUUUUGUUGGUUUCUAGGAUUGACGUAAUGAUUAAUAGGGAUAGUUGGGGGCAUUAGUAUUCAAUUGUCAGAGGUGAAAUUCUUGGAUUUAUUGAAGACUAACUACUGCGAAAGCAUUUGCCAAGGAUGUUUUCAUUAAUCAAGAACGAAAGUUAGGGGGUCGAAGACGAUCAGAUACCGUCGUAGUCUUAACCAUAAACUAUGCCGACUAGGGAUCGGAUGAUGUUAAUUUUUUAAUGACUCAUUCGGCGCCUUA
rnacentral:rRNA from 1 species